rnacentral:rRNA from 1 species
GAUGAACGCUGGCGGCGUGCCUAAUACAUGCAAGUCGAGCGAACAGAUGAGGAGCUUGCUCCUCUGACGUUAGCGGCGGACGGGUGAGUCACACGUGGAUAACCUACCUAUAAGACUUGGAUAACUUCGGGAAACCGGAGCUCAUACCGGAUAAUAUAUUGAACCGCAUGGUUCAAUAGUGAAAGACGGUUUUGCUGUCACUUAUAGAUGGAUCCGCGCCGCAUUAGCUAGUUGGUAAGGUAACGGCUUACCAAGGCAACGAUGCGUAGCCGACCUGAGAGGGUGAUCGGCCACACUGGAACUGAGACACGGUCCAGACGCCUACGGGAGGCAGCAGUAGGGAAUCGUCCGCAAUGGGCGAAAGCCUGACGGAGCAACGCCGCGUGAGUGAUGAAGGUCUUCGGAUCGUAAAACUCUGUUAUUAGGGAAGAACAAAUGUGUAAGUAACUAUGCACGUCUUGACGGUACCUAAUCAGAAAGCCACGGCUAACUACGUG